UACGUAGGCAGCAAGCGUUGUUCGGAGUUACUGGGCGUAAAGGGUGUGUAGGCGGUCCUCUAAGUUUGGUGUGAAAUCUCCCGGCUCAACUGGGAGGGUGCGCCGAAAACUGGAGGGCUAGAGUACUGGAUGGGAGAGUGGUAUUCCUGGUGUAGCGGUGAAAUGCGUAGAUAUCAGGAGGAACACCUGUGGUGUAGACGGCUCUCUGGACAGUAACUGACGCUGAGACACGAAAGCGUGGGUAGCAAACAGG
rnacentral:rRNA from 1 species